rnacentral:rRNA from 1 species
UACGUAGGGGGCAAGCGUUGUCCGGAAUUACUGGGCGUAAAGGGUGCGUAGGUGGUUGUCUAAGUCAGAUGUGAAAUCCCCGGGCUUAACUCGGGUGGUGCAUUUGAAACUGGGUGACUAGAGUGCAGGAGAGGGAAGCGGAAUUCCUAGUGUAGCGGUGAAAUGCGUAGAUAUUAGGAGGAACACCAGUGGCGAAGGCGGCUUUCUGGACUGUAACUGACACUGAGGCACGAAAGCGUGGGGAGCAAACAGG